CGCGCUUCCCGGGCUGCAGCAAGCGUCGCCCGGCAGGCAGGGGACCUCAGGAACAGAAGCUCUGUCUGAGACCAGGGCCCUUUCCUAUGGUGUGACUUCAGGCGGGUUCUUCCAGCUCGCGGUCCCUUGGGAUGGAGCUGCAGCCCGCAGGAUCCAGCCAGCGGGAACUGGGGCUGCCUCGUGCCCUUGACUUUCCUGGUGAUGGAUGAGCUCAGGUCCCCACACGUUCGCCUGGGCCUCCCUUCUUCCCCAUAUGUCCCCCAAAUGCAGGUCUGCCUGGGCAUGGGCAUCCAUCACAGGUGUCGGGGGGUGUAGAGGGGGCCUCCUUACAGUCAGGCUGUACGGGAGGCUGUGAGCUCACCUAACCCCCCACAUCUUCAGAAAGCAGGGCGACGUGUGCCCAGGGGGAAGAUAGAUGUUUGGGGACCAGGCUUGGCUGCAGCACUUACAGUCACAUGAUGUCAGAUGGCCCCUCAGGCCUCUCUGAGCCUGAGUCCUCAGCUGGAAAUGGCAGGCUGCUAUUCAUUACGGUAUUCAUUCAACAAACCUUUCCAGUGCCUCCUGAGAGUCGUUCUGUUCUAGGGGUUGGGGACACAGCCAUGAGCAGAACACCCAGCCCUACCCUGAGGAGCUGAAAUUCCAGUGGAAGAGCCAGUGUUGGAAAAGUCCCUGGCACACCAUGGCUAUUGGAUUUAAUAUUUAUGAGUAUCAUCAGAGAACACAAACAUGGCUCUACCAACUGCCAAGUAAUCCCGGCCUGAGGAAUUGGCCCCAAGGAGCUCAUCCUUGAAGGACGAGGCCACAGGUAGAAAGCAGUGUUUUCAAUGCAGAGUUCUUCACACGGUGAAAACCUGGAUCAAAUACCCCUCUGUGGAGAGCUGAUCUAGUGAAGAACGGUUCCUCAUUUGAAGGAAUAUUAUGAGGCAUUCAAAAUCAUAAUUACAAAGCAAAGUACAUAACCACAUACAAUGUUUAUGGGGUACAAUUGCACACACGCAGUGUUUGCAGGUGAGGAAAACUGUGUGUGGGGACAAGGACUGUGCAUGUGUGUGCAUGCGUGUGUGUGCACGCAUGUGUGUGCAUGUGUGUGCACAGGGGCUGGGAAAGGCAAGCAGAGAGAGAAGAGCAGCUGGUAUACUUGGGCAGCAGGGUUGAAUCCGCCACUAGUCACGGGCUCGCACACGGGCACAGCCGCGGCAGAUGGACCUGGCCUGGCUCUGUCGUGACAGCUGUGGCUCUUCAGCCACACACUGUGUGACCCCUCUCCUCCUGGUAACAUCGGUUCCUUAUUACCCUGGACACUGUCUUCUCUGGAGCAUGUGGCAUCAUGCUUCGCCCUCUCCAAAUGCAGCUGCUGCCUCGGGCCUUUUCAUCCUGGGUGCAGAAGUGUGACGAUGCAAAGUGGUGCCUGUCACUUUUUGCUCCCUAUGUGGGGGCUGCUGAGGGUUUUCAUCAGGCACUUUCUGCUUCCCGGACUCCCGAGCUGCCUGGCCCCUGCCUGUCUCCUCACCUGGCUCUCCGGACAGCCCUCCGGGUCUGAGCUGCCCAGGAUGCCUCCUGCUGAUGCUACAUAGCCACACCCUGCUGCCUGCAAUCAAAGAGCCACAGGGGCACAGAGCCUGGCACCGGGAGUCAGAUGCCAGGCCCACAGCCAGGAGUGGACUCCACCAAGGCAGCCUGGAGGAGGUUAGGGGAGGCUGGCCGGCUGGGGGAAGGGGAAUCCUGGUGGCCCUGCGGAACUCUGGGAUUAGGAAUGUGAGUUCUGACAGUGCGGAGUGUAUGAAAGCAUCAGGUGUGGCUGUACCUGCCUCUGUGGGAUGCUGCCACGCUGAGGCCGGCUUCGCUGGCCUGGCCCCUGUGGAAGCAGAAAUGUGGGAAAAAUAUCAAAUAGCCAAGAGAAACCUUUUUUGCCUGAAGCCUG
rnacentral:lncRNA from 1 species